AUCUCUUUCUGGAGACUGAUCCUCUUGGAGUUUUUCCUGUGAACCUACAACACAGGGCUGACUUUAAGCUGCUUCAAAUGCAUUUCAUCAACUUCACCUAAACAAUCAUAAUCACUAUGUUUAAUGAAUUGCCUAACAAAUGCAAUUCUGCUCCUUGGACAAAGAUUUGAGAAUUCAGGUAAACAGCUAUCAGUCACCUAGCCAGCUGUCAGUGCCUAACAGGAAUCCGUAUUAAAAAUGAACCAAAUACUCUCUCUAAGGCAAAAGAGAUCUCCAUUGACUUAGCGGAAUUUACAAGCAUUUCAUAACACACCAGAAAUUAAAUGGGGCCAAGAUGAGCACUAAAAUGAUGAGGAGCAGUGGAGAAAACUGAAAGCAAGUUAUGUUCAUGCUGAAGCUCUCUCCAAACAUGGACCCUUGCUUUCUGUGGCCAUACUUUACAAUCUGUAAAGAAAGGACUUCUAUGCAACCUUCUUCAGCUGUUCUGCAGUGGCUAUUUGUGAAACUCUUCCCCAGCAGCAUCUCAGGUCGGCAGCAGUAAGUCACAUAAAUUAUAGCAACAACCACCACCACCACUACCAACAGCAUAUUGCAAAACACAGAUGCUACAUUUUGACCAGGACUCACUGCCAGAGGAUGGAGAAGAAUGCAGCCUGUUGUAGAAAGGGGAGAAUGAAGGUGGAAGAUGGCUAUGGACUGAAGCCUAAGCAGCUUAAACCCUGAAACCAUGAGCAUAUUCUGCAGAGUCUGCCUGCCUGGUACACAGCAUCUGCCAAAGAGACAGACUGACUGAAAGAUGACUGCAGCUGUUAAACAAAAAGCUGGAUUCAGGAUGGAUGACUUGCAGAACAGAACAUGCUUGCCUUUCUGAGAUAGGCAGAGCAGAACAGGAAAGUAGCUUUGGCAUUAGUUUUGCAGCUUUUAUCUUGCACUAAGUCGACACAGUCUACGUAAUGCCACAGCACCUUUUAACACAAAGUAUUUCAAAAUGUUUAGCUGAAAAUAGCAAUAAAUAUUUAUUUUCAGAGUCACCAGUGGAUUGCUGUAUGCUGGUGACUCAGAGCUGCACUACUAAAAAGUUCACAAUUUUCUAUUGAAUAAAUUUCUAUUAGAAUGCAGUAAAUU
ensembl:lncRNA